rnacentral:tRNA from 1 species
GGUGGCUAAGUGGCAAAGUGCUUGCCUUGCAUGCAAGAGGCCCUGGGUUCGAUUCCUCAGCACCA